CGCGCAGGCGGUCCUUUAAGUCUGAUGUGAAAGCCCACGGCUCAACCGUGGAGGGUCAUUGGAAACUGGGGGACUUGAGUGCAGAAGAGGAAAGCGGAAUUCCACGUGUAGCGGUGAAAUGCGUAGAGAUGUGGAGGAACACCAGUGGCGAAGGCGGCUUUCUGGUCUGUAACUGACGCUGAGGCGCGAAAGCGUGGGGAGCAAACAGGAUUAGAUACCCUGGUAGUCCACGCCGUAAACGAUGAGUGCUAAGUGUUAGAGGGUUUCCGCCCUUUAGUGCUGCAGCUAACGCAUUAAGCACUCCGCCUGGGGAGUACGGCCGCAAGGCUG
rnacentral:rRNA from 1 species